rnacentral:rRNA from 1 species
UACGGAGGAUCCAAGCGUUAUCCGGAUUUAUUGGGUUUAAAGGGUGCGUAGGCGGAUUGAUAAGUUAGAGGUGGAAUGUCCGAGCUCAACUCGGGAACUGCCUCUAAUACUGUUGAUCUAGAGAGUAGAUGCGGUAGGCGGAAUGUAUGGUGUAGCGGUGAAAUGCUUAGAGAUCACACAGAACACCGAUUGCGAAGGCAGCUUACCAAUCUAUAUCUGACGUUGAGGCACGAAAGCGUGGGGAGCAAACAGG